ensembl:lncRNA
GACCCAGCUUCCCUGGUGGCUCAGAUGGCAGAGCACACCUCUUGCACUUUAAUCUUUGCUUUAAACUCUGCUUUCAAGGGAACCUAGUCUGAGACCAAAUAGAACUCAAAGUUGAAUAUAACUUGUAGCAAAACUAUGAGGAGUCCUGAAUAUUCAUUGGAAGGACUGAUGCUGAAGCUGCAAUACUUUGGCCACCUGAUGUGAAGAACUGACUCACUGGAAAAGACCCUGACGCUGGGAAAGAUUGAAGGCAGGAGGAGAAGGGGAUGACAGAGGAUGAGGUGGUUGGAUGGCAUCACCGACUCAAUGGACAUGAGUUUGAGCAAGCUCUGGGAAUUGGUGAUGGACAGGGAGGCCUGGCAUGCUGCAGUACACGGGGUUGCAAAGAGUUGGACACAACUGAGUGACUGAACAGAAUUGAAACCCUCUGGCAUCCUUCAGGACAGUGCUAGGCAUGCUUUGGGUUCAUUUUCCCAGUUUAAUCUUCACUUAGAGAAGAGCUUACCCACUCCAGUGUUCUUGCCUGGAGAAUCCCAGGGAUGGGGGAGCCUGGUGGGCUGCCAUCUCUAGGGUCCCACAGAGUCGGACACGACUGAAGUGACUUAGCAGCAGCAGCAGCAGCAGCAGCAGCAGAGAAGAGCUUACCAUUCUCUGCCAUCUGAAAGCAAUCAACACCACCUGCAGCAGAACUUUAUCCAGCAGGUCAAAACUUCCUCAUUUCU